GCGGCAAUAGCUCAGUAGAUAAAGCGCCAGGAGAGUAGAUGGCGAUUACUCCGAGAGCUAUUAUCCGCGCGGGUUCGAAUCCCGCCUGUGGCA
rnacentral:tRNA from 1 species